rnacentral:rRNA from 1 species
AUGGAGGCCACCCCGAUCUCCGUCAAGCCCCCCUCGCCGCCCCCGCCCCCGCCCCCGCGCCCGCACCUCACGGCGGCGGUGCCCCUCUCGGCCAUGGAGCCCCCGCCCUCGCCGCCGCCGGCCGUGGCGGCGGCCCCGGAGGGCCCCGAGGCGCUGCCGGAUCCCACCAGCAUGAACCAGCUCGCGCUCGCCACCACGCCCAAGAGGCAGAAGGUGGAGGACGCCGCGGAUGGGUGCAAGCAUUGCGCCUGCAAAAAGUCCAGAUGCCUGAAGCUGUAUUGUCCAUGUUUUGCCGGUGGAGGUUAUUGUUCUGAAAAAUGUGGAUGUGUGCCAUGUUUCAACAAGGCUGAUUUUGCAGAGACAGUUCAGACCACUCGCAAGGUGCUACUUUCACGUCAGAAACGGAUGUCUCUGAAAAUUAAUAGAAGACUGGAGGCUAAUGCUGAAACUAUGGAAGACGCACACAAUUCUUCUUCUUCAACCCCACCAAGGCGAGGUUGCAAUUGCAAGAAAUCAAGUUGCCUAAAGAAAUACUGUGAUUGCUACCAGGAUGGGACUGGAUGCUCCUUAUUUUGUAGAUGCGAGGAUUGCAAGAAUCCUUAUGGGAAAAAUGAAGGUUUUAUGGCGGACGAAAGCAAACGUUUUAUAUACACCGGUGCGGAUCUGGACCACAGCGAGGACGAGCACGACUUCAUCGUGGAGCGCUCGCCUCGCCUGCAAUCACCCAUCUCAAAGGAGUCCUCUUUCCAGCACACCCCGCCUCGCAGCAAGGCCUCGAGCAGAGACACGCACCUGCUGCCGCAGGUGCUGUCGCAGUGGCAGCCGCGCUCAUGGCAGCAGUCCUCGAAGAGGCAGGGCAACGACCACCGGGCGGUCGACGACUCGGGGGACAACCACAAGAGCUCGAGCCACGAGUGGCAGCUGGCGAAGCACCAGGUGCAGGAGGACGCCUACAGCAUCUCGCGGUGCGUCCAGAUCCUGAACGGCAUGGUGGAGCUGUCGCAGGUGGAGAAGUCGGUGGCCCCCGACGUGUUCCUGCAGCCGGGCAACCGGGAGAUAUUCGUCUCCCUGGGGCUUGACGUGCGCGCCCUGUGGCUCAAGCGCAAGAUCCAGCACCUGACUUAG